GUAUAUUAUGUAAAAGCUAGAGACAAAUAAACCCUUCUAAAACCGAAAAUAUUGUUUUUGUAACCUGAUAACACCUCUGGAGUUAUUUUCAAGACAUUUUGCGGACACGCCAAAUUAUAU